GACGAACGCUGGCGGCGUGCUUAACACAUGCAAGUCGAACGGAAAGGCCCUGCUUUUGUGGGGUGCUCGAGUGGCGAACGGGUGAGUAACACGUGAGUAACCUGCCCUUGACUUUGGGAUAACUUCAGGAAACUAGGGCUAAUACCUGAUAGGAGCUCCUGCUGCAUGGUGGGGGUUGGAAAGUUUCGGCGGUUGGGGAUGGACUCGCGGCUUAUCAGCUUGUUGGUGGGGUAGUGGCUUACCAAGGCUUUGACGGGUAGCCGGCCUGGGAGGGUGACCGGCCACAUUGGGACUGAGAUACGGCCCAGACUCCUACGGGAGGCAGCAGUGGGGAAUAUUGCACAAUGGGCGGAAGCCUGAUGCAGCAACGCCGCGUGCGGGAUGACGGCCUUCGGGUUGUAAACCGCUUUCGCCUGUGACGAAGCGUGAGUGACGGUAAUGGGUAAAGAAGCACCGGCUAACUACGUG
rnacentral:rRNA from 1 species